rnacentral:rRNA from 1 species
GCCGCCUGUCCGCCCCAGUGGUGAGUACGUGGCGCGCAUUUGGCCCUUUCAGGGGAGCGUAUCUGCACUUCAUUGUGUGGUGCGGGAUCCUUGACUUUUACUUUGAGGAAAUAGGAGUGUUCCGAGCAGGCUCUCGUCGUGCACAGCUCAACAUGGAAUAAUAGCAUUGGACCUCGAUUCUAAGCUGUUGGUUGCCAGAAGCGAGGUAAUGAUGAAGAGGGAUAGUUGGGGGCAUUCAUAUUUAACUGUCAAAGGUGAAAUUCUUGGAUUUGUUAAAGACGGACUACUGCGAAGGCAUCUGCCAUGGAUGUUUUCAUUGAUCAAGAACGAAAGUUAGGGGAUCGAAGAC